rnacentral:rRNA from 1 species
UACGUAGGGGGCAAGCGUUGUCCGGAAUCAUUGGGCGUAAAGAGCGUGUAGGCGGCUCGAUAAGUCUGCUGUGAAAGUCCAGGGCUCAACCCUGGAAGGCCGGUGGAUACUGGCAAGCUAGAGUGCGGUAGAGGGUAGUGGAAUUCCCGGUGUAGAGGUGAAAUUCGUAGAUAUCGGGAGGAACACCAGUGGCGAAGGCGGCGACCUGGGCCAAUAUUGACGCUGAGGUGCGAAAGCGUGGGGAGCAAACAGG